GACGAACGCUGGCGGCGUGCUUAACACAUGCAAGUCGAACGGUAAGGCCCUUCGGGGUACACGAGUGGCGAACGGGUGAGUAACACGUGGGUGAUCUGCCCUGCACUUCGGGAUAAGCCUGUGAAACUGUGUCUAAUACCGGAUAGGACCACGGCCUGCAUGGGUGGUGGUGUAAAGCUUUUGCGGUGUGGGAUGGGCCCGCGGCCUAUUAGCUUGGUGGUGGGGUGAUGGCCUACCAAGGCGACGCGGGGUAGCCGGCCUGAGAGGGGGACCGGCCACACGGGGACAGAGAUACGGCCCAGACUCCUACGGGAGGCAGGAGUGGGGAAUAUUGCACAAUGGGCGCAAGCCUGAUGCAGCGACGCCGCGUGAGGGAUGACGGCCUUCGGGUUGUAAACCUCUUUCAGCACCGACGAAGCGCAAGUGACGGUAGGUGCAGAAGAAGGACCGGCCAACUACGUGCCAGCAGCCGCGGUAA
rnacentral:rRNA from 1 species